GCCAAAUAUUUGUGUUUUGGGAUCUAGAGAACAGCUGUGCAUAAACCAGGAAGUGAUGCGUCAAGAGAGUAACCACAUUAAGAGAAAAGCACUUACAAAGAAAUCAUGAAUACUAUCAUGGAUGUGGAGGAUCUUGUGAAAACAUGAAAAAGGAAAGAGUUUGUCCAUACUACCUGUCACGCUCACUCAAACAACACGCUGAUGUCAUCUUCAUGCCUUACAACUACCUGCUUGACCCAAAGAGUCGAAGAGCGCACAACAUAGAGCUGAAAGGAGCUGUGGUUAUUUUUGACGAGGCUCAUAAUAUUGAGAAGAUGUGUGAAGAGUCCACCUCUUUUGACCUCUCCCCUCACGACCUGAUUUCUGCCAUUGAAGCCGUGGAUCGACUACUGCGGGAACAUGCCUCAGACAUUAGCAAAACUAAUUCUGGAUUAAAACUGGAUAUCACCACAAUUGCAAAAAUAAAACAAAUUUUGAUGGAUCUGGGAUCUUCCAUUAAUGGUUUUGAGAUGCCAGCAAAUAAUCAAGGAAUCACUAAACCCGGCAGCUUCAUAUAUGAGCUUUUUCAAACGGCUAAUGUAAACUUUGAGAAUAAAACAUCUAUAGUGGAAGCCAUGGAGCAGAUUACAGGAUAUAUAGCAGGGAGGCCUGGUGUCUUUCUGAACACCAGCGGACUACAGAAAGUAGCAGAUAUUAUCCAGUUGGUGUUUGGGGCUAAACCUACAGAGGACAGCAAGACAUCACAGAUGGGAAACGGCAUGAAGGAAUUUAAGGUCCACAUUCAUCCAGUCACCAACAACUUCAAGACUAAACUGCAGACUGAUUUAUGUGCGUCCUCUUCUACAAAAAAACAAGGGAAUGUGCUGAGUUACUGGUGUUUUUCUCCGGGGUUUCAGCAUGCAGGAGCUGCUCGGACAGGGAGUACGCAGCAUCAUUCUGACCAGUGGAACUCUCUCGCCGCUCUCAUCCUUCACCUGUGAAAUGAAAAUUCCUUUCCCUGUAUCCUUGGAGAAUCUUCAUGUCAUCCAGCCUGAUCAGAUUUCCGUCAGUAUCAUUGAAAAAGGUCCGGACGGCGUGAAGUUGAGCACAGCCUUUGACAUGAGGUUUGUUCCUGAAAACAUGUCAUCUAUG